rnacentral:rRNA from 1 species
CCCUUAGAGUUUGAUCCUGGCUCAGGACGAACGCUGGCGGCGUGCUUAACACAUGCAAGUCGAACGAAGAGCGAUGGAAGCUUGCUUCUAUCAAUCUUAGUGGCGAACGGGUGAGUAACGCGUAAUCAACCUGCCCUUCAGAGGGGGACAACAGUUGGAAACGACUGCUAAUACCGCAUACGAUCUAAUCUCGGCAUCGAGGAUAGAUGAAAGGUGGCCUCUACAUGUAAGCUAUCACUGAAGGAGGGGAUUGCGUCUGAUUAGCUAGUUGGAGGGGUAACGGCCCACCAAGGCGAUGAUCAGUAGCCGGUCUGAGAGGAUGAACGGCCACAUUGGGACUGAGACACGGCCCAGACUCCUACGGGAGGCAGCAGUGGGGAAUCUUCCGCAAUGGACGAAAGUCUGACGGAGCAACGCCGCGUGAGUGAUGACGGCCUUCGGGUUGUAAAGCUCUGUUAAUCGGGACGAAAG